GACUUAGUUUCAUAGGAUUUGGGAGGAUUUUGCAAUCGUUGCUCACAGUCUAUGUUUGUAUUGGUGAAUUGGGUUUUUUUUUUUUUUUUUUUUUUUUAAUUUUUUUGGAAUAAAAUUAAGGCUAGUACUCUUGACUAUUUUAUGAAAAUUAGAAAAAUAUUUGCUAUUGAAAUUUUAGAGAUAUCAAGAUGGUUGAAUAUGCUAGGUGCUUGCAAAAAUUUGUAUUAAUCUAAUAAUACGGAUAGAGGAUAUUUGAUCAUUAGUGUAAAGAGGUAUCAAAAGUCAGCAUAUUGGGAUCAUUUAGGGUUUCUGUAAUAUCUAGAGAUCUAUCAGCUAAGAUAAGAUAAAUUGUGAUGCAGUAAGUCAACGACUUAAAGGCGGAGCUAUACACAAAGUUUGAAAUCCAAAUAAAUAGUUAUAGAAGGAAAAAAUAUAAAUUAAAGUUAGUCAUCAACUUCUAGGCGGUGGUCAAGGGACAUUAGUGUAGGUAUACAACAUCUUCUUACAAUCUAUAAGUUAGAUUAGAUUGAAACUUCUCAAGCAUUUAGAAGACUUAUAAAGACACUAGUAGUAGAAGUUUCACAACAAUCAGAUG
rnacentral:lncRNA from 1 species